UGCCCCGUAGUUCAGUGGUAGAAUAAUUGACUGUUAAUUAAGAGGUCGUAGGUUCGAACCCUACCGGGGCAGCUA
rnacentral:tRNA from 1 species